GUCUUUUUGAAAAUAAUUUAAAGUCAAAUCUGCCCACUGAUUAAUAAUUAAAGGGCUGCAGUAUAUUGACUGUACAAAGGUAGCAUAAUAAUUAGUCUUUUAAUUGAAGACUUGUAUGAAAGAUUUGAUGAGAUAUAAGCUGUCUCUUUUUUAUAAUUAGAAUUUAAUUUUUUAGUAAAAAAGCUAAAAUUAUUUUAAAAGACGAGAAGACCCUAUAGAGUUUUAUAAUUAAAUUAAUUAUAUUAUUUAUGUUUAAGUUUAAAAUUAAUUGAUUUAAUUAUUUUAUUGGGGUGAUAGAAAAAUUAAAAUAACUUUUUUUUAAUUUAAACAUUAAUUAAUGAUUAUAUGAUCCAUAAUUUAUGAUUAUAAGAAAAAAUUACCUUAGGGAUAACAGCGUAAUUUUUUUUUUAGUUCUUAUAAGAAAAAAAGUUUGCGACCUCGAUGUUGGAUUAAGAUAAAAUUUAAAUGUAGAAGUUUAAAAUUUUGAUCUGUUCGAUCAUUAAAAUCUUACA
rnacentral:rRNA from 1 species